GGCCCAACUGUCUCCUCUCUCCAAUCAAUGAAACUGAUCUCUCCGUGAAGAAGCGGAGAUUUAACUAUAAGACGAGAAGACCCCAUGGAGCUUUAAACCUGACUACACCCUUAUCUAUUAUACCCCCUUAAUCAACAGGACCCUGUCUGUCAGUUUUAGGUUGGGGUGACCACGGAGCACAAAUAAACCUCCAUGAUGAACUGGACUAACCCAUUAUCUAAGAAAAACACCUCAAAGAAUUAGCACACUAACAUAAAAUGAUCCGACACUCGAUCAACGAACCAAGUACC
rnacentral:rRNA from 1 species